rnacentral:lncRNA from 1 species
CGGGUGUCUAUCAGCUACAGAGAGCCUAGUGCGGCUCCUCCUCCCCCGCUGCCCAGCUGCCUUCCUGCUAAUGCUGCUCUAAUUAACAGCAGCCUGGAGAGGCUGAAGCCUGGGCAGCAGGAGAGCAUGAUUUUAUCCAGUAGAGUCGUGUCUCUGGCUUGGGAGCCAGGAGAAAAACCCCUUUCAUAUUGCCAGAUCAAUAAGCAGAAAUCAUCCAGAAUUCACUGUCCCUUGGAGAGUUUGUCCUUGAGGAUAAGGCCUCAGAAAGAAGCAAAUGGGAAGACUUCCCCAGCCCAAUUCUGGGGGUUAAAGGUGGAAGACUCUUAGUAUGAGGUUGGACCACUCACAGUCAGAAAACUGGAACUGAGCUGGGCUGGACCGAAAGUCUGAGAAUAAUUACAUGUUAUAAGGACCUGAAAGCUAAAGAAAUCUCGGGGGCAGCUGGGAAAAGGGGGCCCACUGUUUCAUCCACAGAAGAUGGAAUCCUUCCACACACGGGGCCUCAGCUCUCAGCUUCAAGGUUCUUUCCCACUUUGGCAGACUGGUCCUGAGCAAGGCCCUGCUUAUCUCCCAGCCAAGCUCAAGGUGAAAUACCUUAAGAGUAAAUGCUUUAUUUGGAAAUCCUGAUUCCAUUAAGAAACCACCCGACAAAUGGAAUGGAUCACAAAUGUGGUGCUGGGAGUCUCGAAGACAAUCAGAUGCAGUGUUCACCCAGUCAGGAUGAUGUUGCAAUACAGGGGCAUUUAUUGAAGCAGAAACUGAAGAUUGAGCCAGAAGUCUUCCUGUUGGCAUUUUAAGGGUUCUGACUUACAAGAAGAGCUAACAAUGAUAGAGUGAUUUAAGAUUUGCAAAACCCUUUCUUAGGAUUAUCUCAUUUGAUCCCAACAACCCCGAUAAAGAAAUUUUAUUUUCGUCCCUAUUUUGCAGGGGUGGAAAUUGAGGCUGAGCCUUAACCAGUAUUAGUUUGUAAGUGACCAAGGAGGCAUCUGAACUCAGGUAAGCACAGUGUUCUGUCCACUAGGCUAAGCUGCCUCAGAGUCAUGUAAUGUUAGAACUUGAAGGGUUCUUCAGGAUCAUCUAGUCCAAUACCCUCAUUUUACAUUCUUUUUUUUUUUAACUCUUACCUUUCAUCUUAGAAUCACUACUGUAUAUCGAUUCUAAGGCAGAAGAGUGGUAAGGGUUAGGCAAUGGGGGUUAAGUGACUUGGCCAGAGUCACACAGCUAGGAAGUGUCUGAGACUGGAUUUGAAUCUAGGACCUCUCGUCUAUAGGCCUGUCUCUCAAUCCACUGAGCCACCCAUUGGCCCCCUCUCAUUUUACAUUCUAAG